rnacentral:lncRNA from 1 species
AGGGAUAGCUGGUGUGCGUGCAGCGGAAGGCGCUAACUGCCCUGGAUGUGGAGACCCGCGGACUGGACGUGAGAGGCGGGCAGGGGCAGUUGGGGCAGCUGCCCCUACAACACUGAAGAAUUGGAAUAGGAAAGAGUGUGGGGGUAGGGGACGGGGACUCUUUGUCUGCAGUUGGAAUGCGCGGAGGGGCAUGGUGGAAUGUGUCGCGUCCCGGGACCGGACGACAGGAGGCAUGUUCUGCGCUAGCACCGUGACUUUGUUCCCAGCGUGGGGACUGUGGGAGAGAUGGAGAGAGACUGGUACAGAAAUGGUGAGACAAGGAGAGAGCCAUAAAGAGGAAGACAGAGAGAAAGAAGACAAAUGCAUAAAGAGGUUCAGAGACGUGUGACUGUGGAGAUCGAAGGCCUGGUUUUAGGGCUAGCGAACACCUUCUCCCUUUGGUUUUGGUCCACAGAAGACUGGUGAUACAGACUCCUUAUCAGUGUAAUUGUGGGGACUGGUCACCAGCUCUUGCUUGAGCUUUUCCAGAAGAAACUUCACUACUGAAAUAUUCCAAGAGGACUUGAUGCUGCCACAAAGAGAAGAGAAUGAAUAAAGUUGUCGGCUUUGUAAGAGCCAGACAAACAGAGAUACCCAGCACUAAUCAACUUUGUGGCAAAUCCCUCCACAGCCUAAGAAGGCGCAGCAGCAGCAUCUGGCCUCGCUGCCACUGGGAGGGGAGAAGAGAAUGGUGGCACUGAAGGACAUGGCGGAUGGGGCAGUAACAACCACGCUUACACUGCUGGGCCGCUCCAACAGGUAG